rnacentral:siRNA from 1 species
UCACUAGAGUCUGAAAACUGCGAC